CUCUCAGUAUUAUUGUGUGCUCACUGUGUUUUCUUUAAUUAUAUGGAGUGGGAUUUUGUUCAAUUUCACAGUUGCACAAACAUGCAGCAAUUAUUCCUGAUAAGUGAUAACGAAUCACUGAACAUUAAAUAAGUGUGUUCUUGUGUGCGGGCAAGCAGGCACGCAUGUUUGUGCCUCUGCACCACGGACUUGAGCUCCAUGUCACAAACUGCUCAUGGACAUAGAAUUCCAAUUAGCGUUAAAUAUAACAAGAGCAACUGUUCUGCAUGGGUGUGUCACUGUGCAUCCAUAAUCCCAUCCAUAAUCCCAUCCAUAAUCAUAUUCACUGAUCACUUGUUUGUUUUGGCAGCACUGUGGCCUUGAGUCAUUUGUUUGUGUGUUUGGAUUGCAGUGCAAACAGUGUAGUAGGAGUUUUCAUUGAACAUGUUAAUCCUGCAAAUGGGAACUGGACAGAAACUGGAGAAGCUCCACCAGGAAAGGCUCUCCCCCAGAGGUGUGCUCAAGGCAUCCAGCAGUGGAGUACGCAUCGUGCAAACGCAGGGCCACCUGAGUGGAAGUGUCCACAUUCAGAUGUACAUCUAAACAGGGAUUUGCAUGACAGGUGGGAGAGGUCUUUGUUGUCAGCAUCAGCAGCCACAAGAGGAGCAUUAACUGUGAAGCUGCAGGUUCACCUGCAAGAGGGCGGGGAAUCGGCAAAUUGAGGUCAAAGCUACGCUCAAUGAGAAGACAGCAGAGGAGAAGACCUAGUUUUCGGUUAGCAGAGCAGAGAGCCGAGGGAGGAGGAGCAUCACUGCGAAAACCUUUGCCAGCAUUUGUCCAUCCAGCAGCCAGCAGUCAUGGCAGCUGGAUGGAGGUUCAGCUGAAGAGCUUGUCCUUGAAGUUACUUCACCCUUAAGAAGGCAAUUCUUGAAAUGGACAGACUGCAUCACUCCAAUGUGAGGGGCCUUUAACAUCUUAAUGAUUUUUUUUUUUCAAUCGUAUACACUACCUAUUUAAAGUAAAUAGUUCAACAAUUCUGUAAUACCAGACUAUAAAGGUGGAAUAUAAAUGUUUAUAAUGUUUGAUGUGUUUCUUUCCUUUCCUAGUCAGAAUGUCCUGAAUGACAUUUUUCGUGUUGUUAAGUUGAACAAAUUAUUGGCUUAAAGUAAUAAUAAUCUAUAUUUCAUGGUUAAGUUUCUUUACACUGUUUUCUAUAAAAGUGUAGCACUUUUGUUUGGAGUCACAAAAAGCAUCUUCUCCUAGAGCAAUAGACCCACAAGCCAAACUCCAAAAUCUUAAUGAGUGUACCCAGAUAGACAAGAAAUUGCAUCCAAAUAAAAGAAUAAUAAAGGC
ensembl:lncRNA